UACAGAGGGUGCAAGCGUUAAUCGGAUUUACUGGGCGUAAAGCGUGCGCAGGCGGUUCGUUGUGUCGGCGGUGAAAGCCCCGGGCUCAACCUGGGAAUGGCCGUUGAAACUGGCGAACUGGAGUGUGGCAGAGGGGGGUGGAAUUCCGCGUGUAGCAGUGAAAUGCGUAGAGAUGCGGAGGAAUACCGAUGGCGAAGGCAGCCCCCUGGGAUAACACUGACGCUCAUGCACGAAAGCGUGGGGAGCAAACAGG
rnacentral:rRNA from 1 species